GUAGUUUUACACAAAAUGAAACUUAAAAGAAUACAAUGUUCGUUUUAAUGAGAGAUAUUCACGAUAACACGUUUUUCCACAGCCGCAUUGGCCGUGCGCCAGGUGCUCGAGACACGGUUAUCCGUAGAUCACCGAGUACUUGUUAAGUGUAAAUUCAAAUGCUAUGACUCGUUUAAGUAUAUAUUCCUCCGAAUUGUUUACGGCGUAGUGGUUUAUACAUGUGAUCAAUUAUCCAAUAAAAGCGAUAAUAGUACACACGCCCAUCAAUUUUGAUCAUUGAGUCACAAACUCUCCACUACGCGUCAUCUUUCUUUUAACGCAUAAUAGUUUACAUCUGUAUUCAGAUGAUGCGAUUAUAAUACGUAAUUGUAAGUCACCGGCGCGAUAGAUCAGCGCAAGAAAGUGAAAAGGAUAAUUGAAGAUCUCUGAAUAAUCGUGUGAUGUGUGUGCUCCAACCCAGAAAUAAUUAUGAAUUGAUGAAAUGAGUAAAUAAACAAGUUUACACAAUACAUUUAAAAAAUCAAUAAAAUCGUUCUGGAAAUAUAUUCUUACACUUGCAAAAAUUGUUAAUUGACUUGCUUGUGAAUUCUAAAGGAAUUAAAUUAUUCUUAAGGAUGUGUCACGGGUAAUAUACAUGACCCUACCAGUGAACUAAAAAAAGUGACUUUUACAACGUUUUUGGAUACACUCAAUCCCCUCUUUACUGUCUCCGUCAUAUACGAUCCUGAUGAGAGCUAUUCACGAGACCCUUUUAUGCGCAUGCGUUCAUUGACGUUCACAAGUAGGCAAGUUUCGUAGAAUGUAUUUGGCUGGUCAUUUCUCACUGAACCUUCGUUGAGGAUGUAUCUGAGAAUUACGUCUCAAAUUACUAGGAACUUCCUUUUCACGAUGACUUCAAAAUAGUAAUAAUAUGUUAUUUAUCUGUUCCAUUGUUUACCGUGUUUUAUUUUACUGUACUAUUUUGCAUUCUAGAGGAGCAUACCAUUAAAAAAACAUGGAGUACUAAUUACGCGUGUCUGAGAACUAACCGUAACUAAACGAAGCAGUUUCAAUAGUACGUAAUUUAUAUAUGUAGCCUUUUGUAUGAAAACUUCAUAAUGAAUAAUUAUAAAACUACUUAAGAUUUUAUGAAGAGUUGUUUAAACAGUUGUAUUAAUUUGGAUACAAAUUAAAUGGUAUAUCUAUUUUGUAAAUGCAUUUAUUAAAUAUAAAAUUUCAGUAGAAUGGUUUUAACGUCUGUAUCACAAAGUUAGAUUGGUUAAAGAUAUUUCCGAGCCAUGCUUUACUCGAUAAAAGAUAAUGAUACGGGAAAACAAUGACUACGUAGCGAGUUUUGUAUUAAGAAAGAGGAAGGAAAACGGAGUUGUAACACCACGGAUACCUGAAGGAAAGCCUUAUACAUCGUAUUGGAAUGCCAGGUAGAACAAUCGUACAAAUCCCAAUAUGCUCGCAUAUAGUUUGCAAUCACAAAACGACCAGGAUCCGGAAAAGAGUGUAAAGAGGUUCACAAAGCAACACGAGGAAACGAAAAGCGGGAAGCAUGGCCGGGGCACGCAAUGCGAUUAGUUGGCUGGUCUCUUCGUGCAUACAUGAUAUGCGCAGGCGCAGUUUCACGCCACAGAAUGAGCAUUGCUCAAUAACAACGAUGCUACAUGAUUCCAAAAGCACGAUUUUGCAAUUGCAUAAUUUUUUUCGUUCCCUACAAAUAGAGUUAUUUUUAUAAAGUUCAACGUAAUUUGAAGUCGAGAUGCCGAUGACCUCGUGGUACC